CAGCCGCCGCGGGAAUACAAAGGGUGCGAGCGUUAAUCGGAUUUACUGGGCGUAAAGCGUGCGUAGGCGGCUUCUUAAGUCGGAUGUGAAAUCCCUGAGCUUAACUUAGGAAUUGCAUUCGAUACUGGGAAGCUAGAGUAUGGGAGAGGAUGGUAGAAUUCCAGGUGUAGCGGUGAAAUGCGUAGAGAUCUGGUGGAAUACCGAUGGCGAAGGCAGCCAUCUGGCCUAAUACUGACGCUGAGGUACGAAAGCAUGGGGAGCAAACAGGAUUAGAUACCCCGGUAGUCCCUGUCUCUUAUAC
rnacentral:rRNA from 1 species